GAUGAACGCUGGCGGCGUGCUUAACACAUGCAAGUCGAACGAUGAAGCCCAGCUUGCUGGGUGGAUUAGUGGCGAACGGGUGAGUAACACGUGAGUAACCUGCCCUUGACUCUGGGAUAAGCCUGGGAAACUGGGGCUAAUACUGGAUAUGACUUCUCAUCGCAUGGUGGGGGGUGGAGAGAUUUAUUGGUCUUGGAUGGACUCGCGGCCUAUCAGCUUGUUGGUGGGGUAAUGGCUCACCAAGGCGACGACGGGUAGCCGGCCUGAGAGGGUGACCGGCCACACUGGGACUGAGACACGGCCCAGACUCCUACGGGAGGCAGCAGUGGGGAAUAUUGCACAAUGGGCGCAAGCCUGAUGCAGCGACGCCGCGUGAGGGAUGACGGCCUUCGGGUUGUAAACCUCUUUCAGUAGGGAAGAAGCGAGAGUGACGGUACCUGCAGAAGAAGCGCCGGCUAACUACGUG
rnacentral:rRNA from 1 species